CGUAAACAGAGGGAAGCGAGACGGUGACGUUGAGCAAAUCCCAGAAAUAACGUCCCAGUUCGGAUUGUAGUCUGCAACCCGACUACAUGAAGCUGGAAUCGCUAGUAAUCGCGGAUCAGAAUGCCGCGGUGAAUACGUUCCCGGGUCUUGUACACACCGCCCGUCACACCAUGGGAGUUGGAAAUGCCCGAAGUCAGUGGCCCAACCGAAAGGAGGGAGCUGCCGAAGGCAGGUUCGAUAACUGGGGUGAAGUCGUAACAAGGUAAC
rnacentral:rRNA from 1 species